UAUUUCAAGCGCUGCUAAGUCAGUAAAGUGAAUGACUCACUGACUUUUUCACAUUAUCUUUUAAUUUUGUUUGCCUUAGAUGUAUCUACUUGAAUGUGUUUAGUAAAUGAAAACCAAACAAAACCCUGAGAUUCAGAGUAAUUUAUACGUCAUAAAUUUCAGCUGACUGAACAGUUUCUGAACAAAUGGAAGCGAGGCCAGUGCCAUAAUCCUUAAUACACCCAUGUGGUAUUUACUGGCACCAACUUGAAUGGCAUUUCAGUAUGAAAGGUUGAAUUAAUAGCUAUUACUUAACCCAAGUAAAGCUUAUAGUAUAGAGUCCUCUGUUUGAAGAUUGAAAUAUCAAGGGAAAAAAGCAAUCAACUGGCUGACACAAAGGGCUGAACCUUUUACAGUCAGGAUAUGGUUUGACAUGGAUUCCUUAACUAGUUCCAUUGCUGCCAUUUACAGCUGCCCUGCCCCUGUUGUUUCCACUGAUACAAUUAUCUGUGGGGAAGGAUUGGGGAAAAAAUUAUUAUUUGUUUCACUUUUUUGUUUCUCUCAAAAUUACUUUUAUGCAGAUCAGUUCCUUCACCUGCCAUUUCUGGAGCCCCCCAGAAUUCCUACCAACACAGCUGGUGCUACAAAGGGAAGGCCAUGUGCAGGAUUUGGAGGCUCCCUGCCACUUGAAAUGUGCCUAGGAGAAAUCCAUGUCAAGUCACAGCCUUAACUAUAACCAAGUAUAAAAGAUAGAAAGGUACGGUACCCUAUGAAGAAGUCUGGACAUACAACUUCUGACUAUAAGAAUUAGAGAGAUGAUUUUCUAUAUAUUUCACAUUUUUGAAGAUUGCAAGCCAUAAUAUACGUCAAUAAAAUUUGAUGCAAUUGCUCCUUUAAAACUAGAAUCACAGAAUUCUAAGUUUAUUGGGUAUCUUUAUCAAGCAAGUUUGCUUAACAAAAUAAAAGUUGUUAAACUACAGUUCAACCUGACAGAAAAAGCAGUCAGCCUAAAGGGCUCAGUGAUAUAGAGCAGAUCCACAUCUUUAUAUCAUGUAACAUAAUUUUGAAUUCACAAUGAGCUAAAAGUUGUUAAAGUUGUAUUGUAAAUGUUAAAAUACCCAAAAUAUAAUUGGAGAGAAAUCAAACACUGUUUUAUGCAAUAAACAAUCAGUCCUUUA